rnacentral:rRNA from 1 species
UACGGGGGGAGCAAGCGUUGUUCGGAUUUACUGGGCGUAAAGGGCGCGUAGGCGGCCACUGCAAGUCGAUUGUGAAAUCUCCGGGCUUAACUCGGAAAGGUCAACUGAUACUGCGGGGCUAGAGUGCGGAAGGGGCAACUGGAAUUCUCGGUGUAGCGGUGAAAUGCGUAGAUAUCGAGAGGAACACCUGCGGCGAAGGCGGGUUGCUGGGCCGACACUGACGCUGAUGCGCGAAAGCCAGGGGAGCGAACGGG